AUUGAACGCUGGCGGCAUUCCUAACACAUGCAAUUCUAACUAGUGGCUGACGGGUGAGUAAUGUCUGUGAAACUGCCUGAUGGAGGGGGAUACCUACUGGAAACGGUAGCUAAUACCGCAUACCAUCAGAUGUGCCCAGAUGGGAUUAGCUUGUUGGUGGGGUAACGGCUCACCAAGGAGACGAUCCCUAGCUGGUCUGAGAGGAUGGCCGGCCACACUGGAACUGAGACACGGUCCAGACUCCUACGGUAGGCAGCAGUGGGAAAUAUUGCACAAGGGGCGCAAGCCUGAUGCAGCCAUGCCGCGUGUAGGAAGAAGGCCUUCGGGUUGUAAAGUACUUUCAGCGGGGAGGCGUUACCCGCAGAAGAAGCACCGGCUAACUCCGUGCCAGCAGCCGCGGUAAUUC
rnacentral:rRNA from 1 species